CACAAGCGGUGGAUCAUGUUGUUUAAUUCGAUGAUACGCGAAGAACCUUACCAGGUCUUGACACUCCCCGCGAUGCUUUUAGAGAUAAAGCGGAGGUAUUCGGGGAGACAGGUGGUGCAUGGUUGUCGUCAGCUCGUGUCGUGAGAUGUUGGGUUAAGUCCCGCAACGAGCGCAACCCCUAUUGCUAGUUACCAUCAUUAAGUUGGGGACUCUAGCGAGACUGCCAGUGAUAAACUGGAGGAAGGUGGGGAUGACGUCAAAUCAUCAUGCCCCUUAUGACCUGGGCUACAAACGUGAUACAAUGGCUGGAACAAAGGGAUGCGAAGCAGUGAUGUGGAGCGAAACCCAUAAAAACAGUCUCAGUUCGGAUUGAAGUCUGCAACUCGACUUCAUGAAGUCGGAAUCGCUAGUAAUCGCGGAUCAGAACGCCGCGGUGAAUACGUUCUCGGGGUUU
rnacentral:rRNA from 1 species